CAAAACCCAACUCGGGGGAUGGUGCAAAGAAUACAUUCAAUAAAUGCUGACUGGCUGACUGGUUGGUUGGUUGGUAGACUGGAUGGAAAAUAAAUCAAAAUUAUAAUCCAGCUGAAUUGUUUUCAGCUCAGGUGUACCCUUAGUGCUUGACUAUUAUAAUGUAGCCAAUUGAAUGUUUAAAGAAUUAUCAUAAAUGGGUAGAUGUCCUCCUAACAUCAUUUAUUCUAGCAUAAAAAUGCAUGUCCUUUUGGAUGGCAGACACAUGGACAAACAUCACAAAAUUCAAGCUGACUCUACAGCUGCAAGGAGAAAUUAGAGACACUACUGCAAAAUCAGAAAUAUGAACGAUAAAGUUAACUUGAGGUGAAGGGAAAAAUAAAGAUGCAGCACAAGCCAGUUACACAGAGAAGAAGCCUUCUUACACCUCUUCAACAUCUCCCAUGAGCACCCUGCACACAGACAGCACGUAUGAGUGAGGAGGACCAGGCGGUUCUCUGCUAAGGGGAGGCUCUUGAUGCAGUCGGGCCCACUGGUUCUUCUCCACUUUCCUCCAGAGUCAGGAUCCUUUCCACUUCCCCAACCGGAAAACAGAGGCACAGAGAAGAAACAGGAACGGUGAAGCAGGGGAAGGUUGCACUAAGAACUCAAAAUUCACCGGGGGUUCAGAAAACCUGUUGACGUAAAUGUGUUUCUACUUGAAUGCCUCCUCCUUCCCUUCGGGGAGACAUGUGAGUCUCAACACUGAGUCUUUGAGAGAAGGGACUACAGACAUUGUGUAGACAGGAACCAGAGGGCCUUCCCGUUCUCCUUGUCAGGACAAGUCCCUGCUUGACAGCUAAAUAAUUACUAAGAGAACAAGAAUCAGUUAGAGAGAACCCAUGAUGAGCUUGGGAUGGGAAAGAAAAGAAAGUCGUUUACAUCCUAACCUCACUGCAGGCCUGCAAAGACGUGGCAUGCAGGGAAGUUGGAGUCAUAGGCAGAAAAGGCCUCCCCUUCUUCCUGCUUUGAUGAAAAGCUCCUCCACCCGCAGCAGUGUUGCACUAAUAGCGACGAGGCCCUUGCUGCCAGUCACCUCCCACUCUUCUCUCUGCUUGGCUGGCUCUUUACUGCCUCCAGAAAUAAAAGCUAGAAUAUGAUACUUAUUAUGCUAAUAAUCACUCCCUAGUAAACAUAAGUUCCAGAAGCACAAGCCUCUGCUUACAAACAGCAUAACUGCCAAUGCAAAAGGACAUCACUUCUCCCUCAUCCCCACCCCCACCUAGGACAAGUGCAGAUUAAAUUAACAAUUCUCAAAAUUCCCAAUGGUGUCAAAAGCAUUUAAAGUUGCUGGGUCAAAGAUUCACUUUUGCAGCAGACAACCACAAAGGAUUUCAGUGUUACAUACAGUGGAAAUGAUUGCAAGAAAUUCUAAAUAGGGACAGACCAGUAAUUUAAAUUCAUUUUCUAAUGGCUAACACUUAUUUUUUGUUUGUUUCCCAGUUCAAUAGCUGAUUCUAAGUCAGGUUCCAAUUAAGGAAAACAAGACCCAGUUUUCUGGUUCCACUGGGAUUUACUUGUUCAGGGAUUACCUGUCUGCCAGUUGUGAACCUGUUGUGACUAACACAAGCGUGUUUCAGAACAAGGAAACACCCUGAUUACUGGAAGUCAAGGGCAAAGUAAAGCCCAAAACAAGGAACUCUCACUUUCCGUCUGGUGUGUUCCCCAGCAGGCCACUGCCUCUGUCUCUAACCAGAGAUUACUGUAUACAACUAUGAAACCACUGGUGAUAGAAAUCAGAAAAUAGAGCAUGAGAAGCAAAAUCCCACUAGUAAUGUCGAACACUAACACAUAAAGUGGACUACUGAAGCAAAUACCUAAAAGCUAAGUAUUAGAGUUGCCCACAUUUUUUUUUUUUUUUUUUUGAGGCAGAGUCUUGCUCUGUCACCCAGGCUAGAGUGCAAUGGUACAAUCUCGGCUCACUGUAACCUCUGCUCCCUGGACUCAAGCAAUUCUCCUGCCUCAGCCUCCCGAGUAGCUGGGAUUACAGGCAUGCGCCGCCAUGCAUGACUAAUUUUUGUAUUUUUAGUAGAGACGAGGUUUCACCAUGUUGGCCAGGCUGGUCUUGAACUCCCGACCUCAAGUAAUCUGCCUGCCUCGGCCUCCCAAAGUGCUGGGAUUACAGGCAUGAGCCACCAUGCCCGGCCUGCCCAGAUAUUUUAAACAGGACUGAUUUUCUUCAAUUACUUGAAUACCUGAAUUAUCCCAGUUUUCUAUUUUAUUUUAUCUACACAGGCAUAGUUAGACACUGGUUAGAGUAAGACUAGAGGCAAAAGACACCCCUGGUUACUCUACUUGAAUCUGUGAGUAAUGUGUAUUUUCAUACACUUUGAAUUAUUUAACAUGACUUAGCUCUCUGACCCUGGAAAAUCACUCUGAAUCCAGAACAUCUUCAAAAUAGAGGAUGGAAUAAAAUUGCUUCUAAGAUCCUUUUGACUUACUUGGUUUAUAUCUUCUUUACUAUGGGAUCAAAUCCCAUUAAACAGCAAGUCAGUGGCUCAAAAUAUUUCAAAUACUAGAACUUCAUUGUAGCAAAUGAUGCUAAAAGUAGAAAUUUAAUUGCAAUAAGAUUUGGUCUACGCAUUAAUUGAUGUGGUACUUUAAUUUUUUAUUUCCGUAGGUUUUUGAGAUUUUGGUGCACCCAACACCCAAGCAGUAUACACUGUACCCAAUUUGCAGUAUUUUAUCCCUCACCUGCCUCCUGCCCUUUCACCCGAGUCCCCAAAGUCCAUUGUAUCAUUCUUAUGCCUCUGCAUCCUCAUAGCUUAGCCCCUAGAUGCUGUAUUUUUAAAAAGAAUUUAUUGUUCACCAAUGUUCAUAGCAGCAUUAUUCACAAUGGACAAAAGGUGGAAGCCACCCAAAUGUUCAUCAAUAAAGAGACAGACAUGGAAAGAAACAGUUCCUCCUCCUCAAUGGGAUGUUCUGGUGUCUCCCUGUGGCACCUGGAACUGCGACAGGCCACCUGAGACCAUGGGGAGCCAGCGGGCAAGCCUGUACUGAGGAUGACAAAGCAGGAGGGCAAAAUGAACUUGGCUCCUUGAUGCCUUUGCCAGGCUGCUCAGUUAACCAGCACUGGACUCACCCUUGCCCCAGACUUUUGUUUUCUGAAAUGAUAAACAUCUGUGUGUUUAAG
rnacentral:lncRNA from 10 species